AGCGUACAGGUUCGGCCGUAACAAAGCCGAUUAAAAGGGAACCGGGUGAAAAUCCCGGACAGUCCCGCUGCUGUAAGUUCCUUACAUAAAAUUAUGACAUCAUGUCACUGGUCAUCCCGGGAAGGCGUCAUAAUCCGGAACAAGUCAGAAGACCUGCCGUACGU
rnacentral:ncRNA from 1 species